rnacentral:tRNA from 1 species
GGACGCGUAACUCAGCGGUAGAGUGCUACCUUCACACGGUAGAAGUCACAGGUUCGAAUCCUGUCGCGUCCA